rnacentral:rRNA from 1 species
UAUCCGCAGCACAAGUGGUGGUCAUUAUUAUUGGGCCUAAAGCGUCCGUAGCUGGCUUGUUAGAUGCCUGGGUAAAUCGAUGCGCUCAACGUAUCGAACUCCGGGUAGACCGGCAAGCUUGGGACCGGGAGAGGCGUGAGCUACUCGAGGGGUAGGGGUAAAAUCCUGUAAUCCUUCGGGGAGGACCAGUGGCGAAGGCGUCACGCUAGAACGGCUCCGACAGUGAGGGACGAAGCCCUGGAGCGCAAACCGG